rnacentral:rRNA from 1 species
GACAGAGGUGCCGAGCGUUAGGCGGAAUCACUGGGCUUAAAGCGUGUGUAGGCGGAUCUGUAAGUACCUUGUGAAAUCCCACGGCUCAACCGUGGAACUGCUUGGUAUACUGCGGGUCUUGAGCCACUUAGGGGCAAGCGGAACAAACGGUGGAGCGGUGAAAUGCGUAGAUAUCGUUUGGAACGCCAAUGGUGAAAACAGCUUGCUGGGAGUGUGCUGACGCUGAGACACGAAAGCCAGGGGAGCAAACGGG